AGAGUUUGAUCCUGGCUCAGAUUGAACGCUGGCGGCAUGCCUUACACAUGCAAGUCGAACGGCAGCGCGGGAGCAAUCCUGGCGGCGAGUGGCGAACGGGUGAGUAAUAUAUCGGAACGUGCCUUAGAGUGGGGGAUAACUAGUCGAAAGACUAGCUAAUACCGCAUACGACCUACGGGUGAAAGUGGGGGAUCGCAAGACCUCAUGCUCUUAGAGCGGCCGAUAUCUGAUUAGCUAGUUGGUGGGGUAAAAGCCUACCAAGGCGACGAUCAGUAGCUGGUCUGAGAGGACGACCAGCCACACUGGGACUGAGACACGGCCCAGACUCCUAC
rnacentral:rRNA from 1 species